rnacentral:misc_RNA from 1 species
UCGAAGUUAUUGGUGAGGGUUGUAGCUGGCCUUUCGGGGCACGUGCACGCCCGAGCCCUUAAUCCACUUUACACCUGUGAACCUAAUGUAGGUCGCCCCUCAAAAGGUGGCCUACGUCUUAUCAUCAACCUUUAUCUUUUAACUCUUUGUCUGAAAAAUAUUAUGAAUAAACAAUUCAAAAUA